CUUAAAUCUAGUCGCUAAGUAGUGGCUAAUUGCUCCCAUUUUUCUCUAUGGGAUCCACUACACAAUACUUUAGCAGCUGGGCUAUGACUGCUUUCCAACCCUGUUGUAGAGAAGUAAACAGUUAAAUUCUUAUGCGUCCAGUAGGAAAAAUAUGUUAGCUGUAGGGCAUUACAUUGAAACCGUUAUGCACAAGUUAAAGCAUAUUAAACC